rnacentral:misc_RNA from 1 species
GCUACUACCGAUUGAAUGGUUUAGUGAGGACUCCUGAUUGGCGCCGCCGCCCCGGCAACGGAGCAGCGAACUGCCGAAAAGUUGUUCAAACUUGAUCAUUUAGAGGAAGUAAAAGUCGUAACAAGGUUUCCGUAGGUGAACCUGCAGAAGGAUA